rnacentral:rRNA from 1 species
UACGGAGGUGGCGAGCGUUAAUCGGAAUUACUGGGCGUAAAGGGUGCGUAGGUGGUUUGAUAAGUUAUCUGUGAAAGUCCCGGGCUUAACCUGGGGAGGUCAGAUUAAGACUGUUGAACUAGAGUAUAGGAGAGGGUAGUGGGAAUUUCCGGUGUAGCGGUGAAAUGCGUAGAGAAUCGGAAGGAACACCAGUGGCGAAGGCGGGCUACCCUGGCCGUAAAUACCUGGACACUGAGGCACGAAA